rnacentral:rRNA from 1 species
AAUAUUGGACAAUGCCCGCAAGGGUGAUCCAGCCAUGCCGCGUGCAGGAAGACGGCCCUAUGGGUUGUAAACUGCUUUUACACCGGAGAAAACCCCUUUUCGUGAAGAGGGCUGAUAGUAUGGUGAGAAUAAGCAUCGGCUAACUUCGUGCCAGCAGCCGCGGUAAUACGGAGGGUGCAAGCGUUGCUCGGAAUCACUGGGCGUAAAGCGUACGCAGGCGGCGCGUUAAGUCGGGUGUGAAAGCCCGGGGCUCAACCCCGGAAUUGCAUUCGAUACUGGCGUGCUCGAGUGCGGGAGAGGGAAGCGGAAUUCCUGGUGUAGAGGUGAAAUUCGUAGAUAUCAGGAGGAACACCAGUGGCGAAAGCGGCUUCCUGGCCCGAUACUGACGCUCAUGUACGAAAGCGUGGGGAGC